rnacentral:rRNA from 1 species
CAGCUCCAAUAGCGUAUAUUAAAGUUGUUGCAGUUAAAAAGCUCGUAGUUGGAUCUAGGGACGCGCAUUUCAAGCGCCCGUGUCGUCGGGUCAAACCGGCGACUGCGUUGGCGUUGCGGGCUCGGUCCGUCGGUGCCCACAAAAGCAUCGGCGUGUCAACCGGCCCGCCCGUCCCCUCCUUCUGGAUUCCCGUUCCUGCUAUUGAGUUAGUGGGGACGUCACAGGGGGCUCAAAUGGUCGCGGCGGUGGGUCCCUGGGGCCCAGAUCGUUUACCGUGAAAAAAUUAGAGUGUUCAAAGCAGGCAGAUCCAAUUUUCUGCCACCGAAUACAUUAGCAUGGGAUAAUGGAAUAGGACCCUGUCCUCCUAUUUUCAGUUGGUUUUGGCAGCGCGAGGACUAGGGUAAUGAUUAAUAGGGAUAGUUGGGGGCAUUAAUAUUUAAUUGUCAGAGGUGAAAUUCUUGGAUUUAUGAAAGAUUAACUU